AUACCUUCUCGGCCUUUUGGCUAUGAUCAAGUGUAGUAUCUGUUCUUAUAAGUGUGACAACUUA
rfam:Perkinsus marinus ATCC 50983 gcontig_1104296600420, whole genome shotgun sequence.